UCACAUUUCCAGAACAUUAGGUGAUUUGUGACAAGGAAAGCCUGUAUGGCCAUAGUGUGGCCAUAAAGAUGCAUUUUUGUAGCUGUAAAGUGAUAAUUCACUGCACUUACAUGUACACUGAUUUGCACACUGUAAAUGAACAGAGACGAACAGGUCAUGUCUCUGAAACUCUUUUCAAUCUCUUUGGUAGAGGCUGAAGUGUCCUGUGCUGUUGGGACAGACUGCCUUCUACCCUGCAGAUUUGUCUUUGCCAGUUCCGUUUCCAUUCACUGGAGAAAAACUCUGGGAGAAAUACAAGUUCACAGCUACUACGAUGCUCAGGACCAACUUCUACUUCAGCACCCGGACUACACAGACAGGACCGAUCUGCCUGGUGUUAUCCGUGAAGGAAACGCAACACUGAGAAUCAAGAAGGUUAAGGUUCAAGAUGAAGGGAGAUACGUGUGCUUCACCAGUACGAGCAGUGACAGCAGCAUCUCCUCUGUGAACUUACAUGUGUUUGUGAGUAGUUUUGUGGUGAAUGUGGAGAAGAAGGACUCAGAGCUGGUGUUAGACUCUGAAGGAGUCUACCCUGAACCUGCCGUCACGUGGAUCCCUGGGCUCAGUGUGAACCAGGGAAGAACCACAGUCCAUCAGAGAGAGGACCAGCUUUAUGACAUCCACAGCUCUGUCACACUUCAGUCUGCCUUUACUGUGUUUUCCUGCAAUGUCAGCACUGCCCACUACUGGAAGAGCACUGACAUUACAGAAGAAGUGGUUGAAAGACAGUCAGAUUUGUGAUCAUUAGCAAAAAACGGGUUAAUCGGGGGAUUGCUAAGAAUGUAUGAAGGUACAUUUUUUUAUAAACUGUAGAUAUUUGUAAUAGCAAGUGUAAAUACUGUAAAUAUUGCAUCUGAAUGUUUGUUGAAGUGAUCCUUUUGCUGGAGCUUUAUCUGUAUUUUAUAUUUUAUAUUGUGAAUGGACUUAAGAAUGCAUAUUGGCCACUGUAUAAACCUGCUGUCACUUUGCCUCUGCCCAGGGACUACAGAUGAAAAU
rnacentral:lncRNA from 1 species